GCCUUGGUGGGGCAGGGGUGGCCUGGCCCUGCCCCUUUGGAGCUACUCGCCCGGGGCAGGUCGCUCUGCGCCUCUGGGAGCCCCAGUUCCCCGCUGGCAAUUUGGAGCCCUGGGGGCCCUGGCCCACCCCACUCCCAGGGCCCCUCCACUCUCAGUUUUUCCCAAGGAAAGCCUGGGUGGUCUGAGGCCUGGCCUUCCCCCUUUGAGGGUCCGAAGAGUCCCUGAUCAUGGCCAGGGCCGGGCUCACUACAGAUGCCACUUCCACGUUCCCUGAGUGCCUCCUGUGUAUGCAUGGCCCUGGGCUCCUGGCUCCUUCUCCCUUGGGCGUGGAGGAGGUGGCAGGUCCACCCUCUCCCAGGUGAGGCCCCAGUGUUGAGUCUCACACCCCGGGUCACAGCACGGUGGGACUCCGGCUUGGACUCUCAACUUCACCCCCAUCUCCAGGGGGCUGGCGAGUGGAUAAGUACACCCCUCCCCAGGCGGGAGGGACACAGAGCUAGGGCUCCAGCUUCCAACCAGAGGUUCAGAGGGGGCCUACAGAGGAAGCUGACCCUCACAGCGCCACAGCCCUGGCCAAGGUGCACAGCGUCCCAUUUUCCGUGUCCCCUGGGAGGCCCAGUCCCCCUCCUGGAAGAUGCCUGGCCCUAAGUUGCUGUCUUCUUAUUCAAAUGGACUUCUGUUGGCUCAUACGGUCCCAUCAGCUGCAGUGGAUGUUUUGCAUAAUGACGAUUUGGAACUCAACCUAUUCUACUAGAAUGUCCAAUUUAAUGCCAAUUAAGUCUGGAAUUGAAUGAUGUUCUCUGGGAAUCCUGCACAGAUGAGCCUCAGUGGCGCUGGCUGCAGAGACCGUGAUCACUCACUUUGGCUUCUUGGAACCGCCCUAGCACAGGGCUGUGGGCUCCCUCACCUGGCCUGGCCCUCGGGCUACCCCUGCCACUGCCUUGAUGGGAGAAGCCGCUGGAUGGGCAGCCUCACGUGUGCUGGAAGAAGUCCUGGCCUGGAGCCCACAGGCCUGUCCCACACCUGUUCCAGGAAGCCUGCCUGGACUGCCCUCCAUCCGGAGUCUCCGACGUCUCCGUGCCUGUUCUGGUGAGGUCGUUCCAUGCUGGAACCUCUCUGGCUUUUGCAGAGAAGCUCUGAGGUCCUCUGGCUGACUUGCGUUCAUCCUGAAAACAUUAGGCUCCGGGUGGCCCAGUCUGUGUGCCGGAGUGUGGCGUGGAGGCUGGAGGCUCGCCCUGCUGUCAGCUGACCUGGGCUGGCGCCUGGGGGGCCCCUGGAACUGGUGACUUGGGGGGCUUGUAGGGGUGGCUAUCUCCCCGCUUUGGGUUGAUGUGAGUCACACACACGGUGCACGGGUGUGUGAGCCAGCCCCAGUCAACGAAGCUGUUAGGACUUUUGUAUUUAUUUUGGACAAUCACCAGGGGGGCCAGGGUGACUGCAGCAGAGUGGGCUGGGAGGGCAGAGAGCAGAAAGGGCCGGGUGAGGACUUGCCUCUUCCUGUAAGAUAGUGUGUCCUGAGCGUGGCCACCAGGCCUCCCUCACUGUCCCUAGGGUGAAGUCUAGCUCCUCUGCUGACCCCUGUGGAGUCCCAUGACUCCUCCAAAAGGCUCGAUUCCCACAGCCUCCCCUGGCUGGAGCAGCCCAAGCCGUGCAGGCUUGCGGAUCCCACGGGAUGUAGGGGCUCUGGGGUUGCCCCGGAAUCUUCCGAGAGUAGCCUCCUGGGUGCUCCAUCGUGGUGGGCUUCCCCAGAGAGUGCCUCACGUUUGGGGGCGAGGAGGGCACUUGCUGAAUGAAGGCCAAAAUGGGGCAGAAAAAUGCCCGUGCUGUGCAGAGCUGGCAUCUAAGGCCAUGCUGGCCCAUGAGCAUCUUCCUGUGUCCUGACAGCGGAACCCGGAGGCAGAGGGCUUGCCUGCCACUCUCACUCUGAGACUCUUCGAGAAUGAGCUUGGUGACCCUCCAGGCCCUGGCCCCGAUGGAACCUCCCUGGAGGGGGCUAUUGGCUGAUGUACUUGCCCCCGCUGAGACCUGGGCCUGCUGAAGAUGAGCCCCCAGCCCCAGGGUGGAUGAGAGGCCACACGGAGCCUGGCACCGCUGGGAAGGGCUGCUGUAGCCACUUCACCCACCCAGCGCUCCCGAGUUGCCUUCUCUGGGGUGUUCUAGAGACUGCUGGCCAGAGGACUUCAUGGAGCCUUGAGCUCAGCCCUCCCAGCCUCCAGAUGAGAGCCAGGAACGAUGCUAAAGCUUCCUGAUUCGUGACCCUGGCUAAGCAAAUGUAACGGCCCCAUUGACUCGCAGCCAUUGGAGAACUGAGCUUAAGAAUCUUUUGGCGGUCUGGAAACUUGGAAAAAGAAAGGGGCAACGUAUCCCACUUGAGCCAAGGCCAUACUUUCCCGGCUGCUCAGAAGACAUUUCUCUGUCUCCCCUGCUCUUCCCCAUCUUGAAUGUGGAUGUCCUGGCUGGGAACACAGCAGCCAACUCGUGAGUGUGGGUAACAAGCAGGGACAAAAGACCACCAGAGUCACAGAGACGCAGCUGCGGUGACACCGAGGCUGUUGGCCGGAGGUCAUCUCAGCUCCUAGCUGGGUAUUAGCUGGAGGCUGUCCUCAGUCCAGUGCCGUGGGCCUCCCCAGCUUGGCUGCGUGUGGCAGCAAAUCCAGCCAGGCGGUCCUCAGCAAGAGAGACAUCACAAUCUCACAGGUGAUCCACUCGGCUCUCUUCUCUUCUGCGUCCUGCUCUAUGGCCUGGGAAGCUGAUCUCCAAGGAUCGCAUUCCUAGGGCUCUCUGGCCCAUGGGCUUCCCGUUGGGUUUGCCCAAUGGACAGCCAUGGCAGAAGAUCAAAGGGAAGAUGGCAGGAAGCUGUCCCCCACUCCUCGCCUGGCUGAGUUCUGGCGAUGGCUGCCAUCCAGGGUCCUGAGUCCCACCAGUUUUUACCCCUUGAAGUGAGAAAGAACACGUCUACAACCCUCCCUCAUUCCAGAGGCUGUGUUUUUGCCCUUUGGUCAUGCAGAUGGGGCUAAAGCGAAGUUACAACAUUGGAAAAUGUCUUCUUAACGUCACACUGAUCUCCUUAAGGCAACGAGCCCCACAUGCUCUCUGAGGCCUGUGCACGUGUUCUGAGGACCCAGUUAUGUGCUGCGUGAUUCCAGAGGUGAACAGACCCUCACAGAUCACCUCUCCUCACCCUCUCAUGAGAGGGAAACUGAGGCUCAGGGGGAGAAUUGGCAAAGGUUACACUUGGUGGUGGGUUUGGAAUCUGCCCUGUGGACGCCCGACUAACCAUUUCUGCCAGAUGCGCGUGGGAAGUAAAAUGGGAAGAGGUGCUCCAUAGGAGGAGGGGACGUGGGUACAGUCACGUGGACCCGUGAGCCGGUCACCUGCGAGGCACCAGGGCCUACAGGAAAGGUGCCCGCUGUCGGCUUCCGCAGGGAAUUUCGUUAUCUUUGUGAGGUAGGGUGGAACUUGCAUCCUGAACAUUAAAGUUUACAUGCCAAGGAGG
rnacentral:lncRNA from 1 species